rnacentral:rRNA from 1 species
CCCUUAGAUGUCCUGGGCUGCACGCGCGCUACACUGAUGUGUCCAGUAAGCACCUAACCUCUUCCGAAAGGAACGGGUAACCUUUGCAAAGCACAUCGUGAUGGGGAUAGAUUAUUGCAAUUAUUAGUCUUGAACGAGGAAUUCCUAGUAAGCACAAGUCAUCAGCUUGUGUUGAUUACGUCCCUGCCCUUUGUACACACCGCCCGUCGCUCCUACCGAUUGAAUGCUCAGGUGAGCCAUUCGGACUUUCAUCAUGCUGGUUUCCAGUUUUGAUGAAGGAAAGUCUUGCGAACCUUAUCAUUUAGAGGAAGGAGAGGUCGUAACA